UACUAUCAGCGCCAAGCUGGUGCUAUUUAGAUGCCUGGAUGGCUAAAAAUGGCUGAAAAGGGAAUCCGGUGUAACUCCGGAACUGACGCGCAGCGGUAAGAGAGAACGAACGCUCAAACGACACUGCUUUUCGAGUGGGAAGUCGAGCCAGUAGGCCAACAGUGCUCUCAAGUCCGAAGACCUGCCAGCAACUGAGUUAUGCA
rnacentral:ncRNA from 2 species